UAUGUUUUUAUCAAUAAAAGCACGUAAACUCAAUUAUCUGAUGCGGAAAAUUUUUGUUGAGUGGAAUUUUUACGGUUUAUUUUAUUUUUUGUUAGUUUUAUUUUAGUGUGUGUUUUAAAUGGGGACUAAAAAGUUUGAUUUUGCACGUUUUAUUGCACAAAUGAUUGUUCAAACAAAAUUUUAGUGAUAAAUUACGUGUAUUGAUUGGGUAUAAAUAUAGAGGAAUAUUUGCCAGGUUGUAUUUUUGUGUUUUGCAAUCAUGAAGCCAAUUUUUGUAUUUUUCAUUAUUUUAUUUUCGGUUUUUUAGUUUCUGCUAAACCAUCACAUGAAAAAUGUGAUUCAGCAAAUCAUGAGGUGUACAACCCAUGUGGACCAAAGUGUCCAGAAAUCUGCGGCCUUCCAGUUCGAAUUUGCGUUGGUUGUACACCAGGUUGUUUUUGUAAAAAACAUUAUACACGCACCCAAGAUGGAAAAUGCGUCAAAAAUUGCCCAGAAGGUCAUAUUGCAUCAGUUAAAGUCCUCUAAACUAUGUUAUGUACAAAAGUAAACAAAAAUUGAUUUAAAAUAAAUUAAAUUCAUAAAAUAA